GACGAACGCUGGCGGUGCGCUUAACACAUGCAAGUCGAGCGAUGAAACUUUAACAGAACCCUUCGGGGCGAAGAUAAAGUGGAUUAGCGGCGGACGGGUGAGUAACACGUGAGUAACCUGCCUUAGACAUUGGGAUAGCCUCGGGAAACCGGGAUUAAUACCAAAUAAAAUCAUAAUGACACAUGUCAUAACGAUCAAAACUCCGGUGGUCUAAGAUGGACUCGCGUCCCAUUAGCUAGUUGGUAGAGUAAAAGCCUACCAAGGCGACGAUGGGUAGCCGGCCUGAGAGGGUGAAUGGCCACAUUGGAACUGAGAAACGGUCCAA
rnacentral:rRNA from 1 species